ensembl:snoRNA
UAAGGCCCUAGCCCCAAGAACUGCUGUUUCAUAUAGCAGCAGUUUAAACAGAGGUGCUAACAGCAAGUGGAUCUCGUUGCCCUUGGGGGCUGCGGUCGUGCCUCUCAAAGUGAAUUUGGAGGGUCUACACCC